rnacentral:rRNA from 1 species
CAGUCGCCGCGGGAAUACGGAGGGUGCAAGCGUUAAUCGGAAUUACUGGGCGUAAAGCGCACGCAGGCGGUCUGACAAGUCAGAUGUGAAAUCCCCGGGCUUAACCUGGGAACUGCAUUUGAAACUGUCAGGCUGGAGUCUUGUAGAGGGGGGUGGAAUUCCAGGUGUAGCGGUGAAAUGCGUAGAGAUCUGGAGGAAUACCGGUGGCGAAGGCGGCCCCCUGGACAAAGACUGACGCUCAGGUGCGAAAGCGUGGGGAGCAAACAGGAUUAGAUACCCCUGUAGUCCCUGUCUCUUAUCA